rnacentral:rRNA from 1 species
AACGAACGCUGGCGGCAUGCUUAACACAUGCAAGUCGAACGAACUAUUUAUAGUUAGUGGCAGACGGGUGAGGAACGCGUGGGAACGUACCCUAAAGUUCGGAAUAACUAUUGGAAACGAUAGCUAAUACCGGAUGUGACCGAGAGGUUAAAGGUUUACCGCUUUGGGAGCGGCCCGCGUUAGAUUAGCUAGUUGGUGGGGUAAAGGCCUACCAAGGCGAUGAUCUAUAGCUGGUCUGAGAGGAUGAUCAGCCACAUUGGGACUGAGACACGGCCCAAACUCCUACGGGAGGCAGCAGUGGGGAAUCUUGCGCAAUGGGCGAAAGCUUGAUCCAGCAAUAUUACGUGAGUGAAGAAGAUCAUAUUCGUAAAACUCUAAAAUCAAGGAGGAUAAUGACGUUACUUGAUAAAAGACCCUGGCUAACUUCGUG